rnacentral:rRNA from 1 species
AAAGGGACUAGUCCUGCAGGUUUAAACGAAUUCGCCCUUAGAGUUUGAUCAUGGCUCAGGAUGAACGCUAGCGGCAGGCUUAACACAUGCAAGUCGAGGGGUAACAGGUAAGAAGCUUGCUUUUUAUGCUGACGACCGGCGCACGGGUGAGUAACGCGUAUGCAACCUACCUUUAACAGGAAGAUAGCCCCGAGAAAUCGGGAUUAAUACUCCAUAAUAUAUUGAUAUCGCAUGAUAUUAAUAUUAAAGCUCCGGCGGUUAAAGAUGGGCAUGCGUGACAUUAGUUAGUUGGUGAGGUAACGGCUCACCAAGACAACGAUGUCUAGGGGUUCUGAGAGGAUUGUCCCCCACACUGGUACUGAGACACGGACCAGACUCCUACGGGAGGCAGCAGUGAGGAAUAUUGGUCAAUGGGCGAGAGCCUGAACCAGCCAUGCCGCGUGCAGGAUGACGGCGCUAUGCGUUGUAAACUGCUUUUCUACAGGAAGAAACCUACCCUCGUGAGGGUAGUUGCCGGUACUGUAGGAAUAAGCACCGGCUAACUCCGUGCCAGCAGCCGCGGUAAUACGGAGGGUGCAAGCGUUAUCCGGAUUUAUUGGGUUUAAAGGGUGCGUAGGCGGAAUAUUAAGUCAGUGGUGAAAUCCUGCGGCUCAACCGUAGAACUGCCAUUGAUACUGAUAUUCUUGAAUGUAGUUGAGGUAGGCGGAAUGUGUAAUGUAGCGGUGAAAUGCUUAGAUAUUACACAGAACACCGAUUGCGAAGGCAGCUUACUAAACUAUGAUUGACGCUGAGGCACGAAAGCGUGGGGAGCGAACAGGAUUAGAUACCCUGGUAGUCCACGCUGUAAACGAUGAUCACUCGUUGUUUGCGAUAUAUUGUAAGCGACUGAGCGAAAGCAUUAAGUGAUCCACCUGGGGAGUACGUUCGCAAGAAUGAAACUCAAAGGAAUUGACGGGGGCCCGCACAAGCGGAGGAACAUGUGGUUUAAUUCGAUGAUACGCGAGGAACCUUACCUGGGUUUAAAUGUAGGUUGCAUGAACGGGAAACUGUUCUUUCUUUCGGGACUACCUACAAGGUGCUGCAUGGUUGUCGUCAGCUCGUGCCGUGAGGUGUCGGGUUAAGUCCCAUAACGAGCGCAACCCCUAUCGUUAGUUGCCAUCAGGUCAUGCUGGGGACUCUAACGAGACUGCCGGUGUAAACCGUGAGGAAGGUGGGGAUGACGUCAAAUCAGCACGGCCCUUAUAUCCAGGGCUACACACGUGUUACAAUGGUCGGUACAAAGGGCAGCUACCUGGUGACAGGAUGCUAAUCUCUAAAGCCGAUCACAGUUCGGAUCGAAGUCUGCAACUCGACUUCGUGAAGUUGGAUUCGCUAGUAAUCGCGCAUCAGCCACGGCGCGGUGAAUACGUUCCCGGGCCUUGUACACACCGCCCGUCAAGCCAUGGAAGCUGGGGGUGCCUGAAGUCUGUAACCGCAAGGAGCGGCCUAAGGUAAAACUAGUAACUGGGGCUAAGUCGUAACAAGGUAAAGGGCGAAUUCGCGGCCGCUAAA